GCCUCCAAGCCUCAAUGCCCAGAGACUGCUCACAGAGAGACACCUGACCCAGAGAGACCAACGAGGAAAGGACAACGCAGCAGAGCCAGCCGCCUGAGCCAAUAGGACCUUGGGAGGGGGUAUAAAGGAACUCAGGAGCAGCAUCUUGUGAUCGGCACCUAGGGACUUCCAGCCUGUAGCUGAUGGCCUCUGCCCUUAUUCUAUAAUCACACGGAGGAGUAAGAGCAUGCUGCAUGGCCAAGUACCGCCUCCCUCUUCUUCAGUGCUGCUGUGCUACCCCACUCAACACAUGACCUGCGAGCCCGCGUCUGACCAUGAGCUUUAUCACAGAUGGUGCUGUGAGACUGGAGGUGAGCAAUGUCCCAGCAUGCACUCAUCUUUCCUUUUCCUUUGUCUUUUUCUGUGUGUA